CAGGUAUGCACUGAACAGGCACUUCUUAGUGAGCUGCUGUGAUAGCCUACAAAUCUUUUCACUGAAAUGUGAAAUGUUGAUCAGAAAUUAUUGACUUGUAGCGAGGAUUUCUGAAUCUACUGCACCCAAAAGGAAUCUCCCAGCCUAGGAUAUGAGUCAAGCUGCUGUGUCUGUGCCAUGCAUAUCACUGUCAGUCUUCCAGAGCUGAAGAUGAAACUUCUCCAGAAGAUCAGAGACAUGCUUUUUCUGAGACCUGCAGUGUAGCAGGAGACUACGGAAGAUUCUUCAGAGUGGAUGCCAUGUGCUUCAUGGAUCUCCUGCAGUCUGGCUCAUUCAGUCCUGAAGAAGUAGUUCAGAAGAAUUUCUAUUCAUCCAGUUGUCUUCUAUUAUGUUUCCAUAUGCAAAGGCACCAUUCUUAUCCUCAUUAGCAGACAUCCAACCAUGACAGGUGAAGUGUUUGCACUCCUGUUUCUCUUUAAAUAUCCCUGUCCUCUCUUCCUGGAAAUAGCCAUAGCAAACAUACAAACUAUUUUCUUCUCUAGCCUCUGAAUACUGUUCUCACUGAUAGCUUCUGAUGAAGACACACCAUUUUUGAGCCCCAAAUAACUGAAAUUAGUGAGAAAUCUGGGCUCAUCUAAUGCUUCUGUUUACUACUAAAUUGAAGAUCUUGCAACCUUUAUUUCAGAGUUGUCUGUACAUGUCUCUCUUAAAUUCUUGCCCAACUUCUGUCUUAAGAAAAUAAAUUCUAGUUGAGCAAAAUUUUUUAGAAGUUGACAUGACUAGGUAGUUUUGGAGGCACAUCUUGUCGAUUUUAAAAGACUUUUUGAGAAGUGAUUUGCUUUUAAUAAUAUUGGAGAUUCUUUGUCACUUGACCUGAUGAACAAAAAUGUGUAGUGAUUUUUUGAGCACUUCUCCCUUUGGCCACUCAAGCAUCCAAUCCUGUUAAAAUGGUUUAUCACAGAGUGUGACGGGACAGUGGCUACUGACCUUCAAGAGUGGAGAAGGUGUAUGUCUUAUCUGAGUCGAAUCCCUGUUAAAUGUAAUAAGCUGUGUGAUAAAGACUAUAACUAAGGACAGUCACAUCCUUCAGCUACUGCUUUCCCUCUUUGGGUUCAGCCUCCAAAGAUGGAGGCUGUUUCCCUAUUUUUCUGAAUGGCAUCCAACAGAGUUUUGAAAAGUUACUGUGGGGAAGAUAUCAUGUUUCUACCUGACUUGCAGUGCAGACAGCUUCCACUCUACCUCAAAGUUGUCUUUUCUGAAGUGAAGACUAUUCCAGGAGGAGGAAAAGUUCAGCUCCUGUAUCACUGGGUAGUUUAUUGUGCAUAGAUUUGUUAUUUGCAGUUAAAUCUGUUGCACAAAACUGUUAUUUCUAGGGCUGGCUUUACUUUUGUUGAGAAUUUUAAUGCAAGAAAAAAAGUUACUUUCACACCUUGGAAUGAAAUUUAAGAACCAUUGAGAUGUCUUCAAAUCUGCAAUUUCUGUCUAAACACCGAAUUUGAAAGAUAAUCAUGUUUGGCUUUUUAAAUGUUUGGAGUAAACAAGAAAAUAUAUUCUGUAUUUGAGAAUCCCUUAUCUUGCCAAGAAUCAUCUACCAUAGGUCUGAAUUUCAAACAUCAGGAAAUAU